GGGGUAAGGGGUGAGUCCUCUCAGGGGCAUGCUUAGGAAACAAAGUAGUUCCCAAAAUCUAUGCAUAUGACAGAGAAGAAUUAGAUGGCCUUUGAGAGACCCAGAAGAAAAUGCAAAAAGGAAUAGGGAAAAAAAGGGCAAAGCAACCUGCUGUGAGCCUCCUAAUCUUCCAUGGCCUGAAUUCCCAGCGCUUGAGAACAAGCCCUGUGAAAAACAAGCUGCUGUCCCUGCUAGAGGCAUCCUGCAAUCCAUGGAUGUUUAUCACCAAGCCAUUGUUAACAUGAGGGAUCACUCUAAGCUCCAGUGUCAAGGAGUCAAGUCCUUCAGGAAUUCUCUGCCUCCACUCCCUGUGGCAGAGCUAGAGUGGCUGCCAUGCUUCUGAGCUCAGCCAGCAUCCAGAGAGAGAGUGAGAUACAGCCUCCUCUUCUUGAAGCACCCACUUCUAAACUCUGUGACAGUUUUCUUGGAACUCUGUUAUGUGGAUCUGGAGAUGACAAUGUCACAGCACUCCCCUCUAAGCCUAAAUUCCCCCACACCGAUGAACUAUUAGAUGAUGCAUAUCAUAAAUUAUUACUCACCCCAUGUUCCCACCCUCGAGAGACCUCCAAACAAUCACCAUGCCACAGUGAACAUUCAGUAACAAAAAUUCAGCCAGGGUUUUCACCAGCAUGAAUGGCAGUGAUUCCAAUCAGGAAAACAGAAAGAGGAGAGUUCAGAGCCACCUAGAAUGGCUCUUGCAAGAUACGAAAUCAAGGCAGCAGCAACAGGGCUGAACAUUCCUCAUCCCUAACUCUCCCUUCACCAGUAGGAAACCCAGGAUAACUGCAAUCACCGCAGGCCCAUCUGGCCUGAAGUUCUACUACUAGUAGCCCUCCAUGGGACCUUCUUAAGGAAGCAUGUCAACUCAGGUAAGGGAUGUAAGGGGAUGGAUGACCCUUUGAGGCCAAAGUUGGAGCAAAAAACACCAGAUGUUCCUGUGCACUGCUCCUAAGAGAUGGUUCUGAAGACCAGUUCGGGGAGAGGUCAAAAUACUGGACAGAAUCUCAGCAACAUGGAACCUCAAACUAAGUGACAGUCACAGACAACUCUUCCCCAAAGAAAAUAAGCACAGACAUGGUUUGUGGUAAGCAGAAUUAUAAAGAUGAAUUCCCAUCUCCCUGUCAGAUUACCAGUAUGGUAAAUUACCAGAUUACCUGGUUAUUUAUUCAAACACUAAUACAGUUAUUGCCUUGAUGGAAACAUACAGAUACAAUUAAAAUCCCAAGUACCAAAUAAAUUGACCUUAAGACAAAGACUAAGUAAAUCACAUGAGCCCUCUACAAGCAGAGAGUUUUUCUCCAGCUGGUAGCAGAAGCCAGAGAUUUGAAGCAUAGGAAGUAUUCAACACAUUAUUGCUGGCCUGAAAAUGGAAGGGGCCACAUAACGAGGGAAACCGGUGGCCUCUAGAAGCAGGGAGCAGUCCCCUGCUGACAGACAGCAAGCCAAGACCUCAGUUCUACAAUUGCAAGACACUCAAUUCUGCUAAGGACAAAAAUGAGCUUGGAAGUGAACUCUGAGCUUCAGGUGAGAACACGGCCAAACAACACCUUGAUUUCAGCUUAAACAAAGAAUGCAGCCACUCCAUGCCAGAAUUCUGACCUGUAGAAAUUUGAGCUAAUAAAUAGAUGUUUUAAUAGCUUCAUCGA
ensembl:lncRNA HISLA HIF1A stabilizing long noncoding RNA